ACAGUCUUGGAAGGUGAAAGGGAGUGUGCCAGGUUCACUUAUCUAAAGAAUAUGCAGAGGCUUGUUUCAGAGCUGUACAUUCGGGAUAAUUGCCACCCUUUCAAAGCCACAGUGUUGGUCUGGAUUCAGCUUCCAAUGUGGAUCUUUAUGUCUGUCGCUCUGCGGAAUUUUAGCACAGGAGCAACACAUUCAGAAGGUAGUUAUUAUAGAAGUUUGUUUCCCCCCAAAUAAGUUCCCUAACAUUGUCUUUGUACUCUAAA